GGCAGGAGCUCACUGCUCUCCCCUAGCUCCUCCUCGGGUGGAGCUAUUUUCCAGCCCAACUUCCCUCAUUCCAGCUCCUCAGUCAGGAUGUGAGGCACAUGGUUGCUGGCGGUGAGAAGAAUACUGUAGUUCCAGCUUCUGCUCCUUUAAGUCUCAGCCAGGAUGGUGGUCACUCAUAU